rnacentral:lncRNA from 1 species
CCAGAUACAUGGGAGACUGAGGCAGGGGAAUGCCUUGAACCCUGGAGGCAGAGGUUGCAGUGAGCUGAGAUCGUGCCACAGGACUCCAGCCUGGGCAACUGAAGCGAAACUCCAUCUCAAAAAAAAAAAAAAAAAAUCUUAUCAUUAGUGAAGAGAGAUAAUUUGACUGACUUCUUUGUUUCCUAUUUGGAUGUUUUCUAUUUCUUUCUCUUGCCUGAUUGAUCUAGCUAGGACAUUCAGUAUUAUGUUGAAUAAGAGUGGUGAGAGUAGAGAUCCUCGUCUGAUUCCAGGUCUUAGAGGGAAUGCUUCUGACUUUUGCCUGUUCAAUACGAUGUUGGCUGUGGGUUGUUAUAGAUGGCUCCUAUUUUGAUGUAUGUUCCUUCAAUGCCUAGUUUGUUGAGAAUUUGUAAUCAUGAAGGGAUGAUGGAUUUUAUCAAAU